rnacentral:rRNA from 1 species
UCUCUUCGGAGCAUUUUACGAGGUGCUGCAUGGUUGUCGUCAGCUCGUGCCGUGAGGUGUCGGGUUAAGUCCCAUAACGAGCGCACCCCUAUCAUUAGUUGCCAUCAGGUCAAGCUGGGGACUCUAAUGAAACUGCCUACGCAAGUAGUGAGGAAGUGGGGAUGACGUCAAAUCAGCACGGCCCUUACGUCCAGGGCGACACACGUGCUACAAUGGCCGGCACAACGGGAAGCGAGUUCGCGAGGACGAGCGGAUCCCUCAAAGCCGGUCGCAGUUCGGAUUGAAGUCUGCAACUCGACUUCAUGAAGCUGGAAUCGCUAGUAAUCGUGGAUCAGCCAAGCCGCGGUGAAUACGUUCCCGGGCCUU